rnacentral:rRNA from 1 species
AGCGAGCGGGAAGAGCUCAAAUUUAUAAUCUGGCACCUUCGGUGUCCGAGUUGUAAUCUCUAGAAAUGUUUUCCGCGUUGGACCGCACACAAGUCUGUUGGAAUACAGCGGCAUAGUGGUGAGACCCCCGUAUAUGGUGCGGACGCCCAGCGCUUUGUGAUACAUUUUCGAAGAGUCSAGUUGUUUGGGAAUGCAGCUCAAAUUGGGUGGUAAAUUCCAUCUAAAGCUAAAUAUUGGCGAGAGACCGAUAGCGAACAAGUACCGUGAGGGAAAGAUGAAAAGCACUUUGKAAAGAGAGUUAACAGUACGUGAAAUUGUUGGAAGGGAAACGCUUGAAGUCAGACUUGCUUGCCGAGCAAUCGGUUUGCAGGCCAGCAUCASUUUUCCGGGAUGGAUAAUGGUAGAGAGAAGGUAGCAGUUUCGGCUGUGUUAUAGCUCUCUGCUGGAUACAUCUUGGGGGACUGAGGAACGCAGWGUGCCUUUGGCGGGGGUUUCGACCUCUUCACACUUAGGAUGCUGGUGGAAUGGCUUUAAACGACCCGUCUUGAAACACGGACCA